CGCCUGUUUAUCAAAAACAUCUUUUCUCGUUAGUUUUUGAAGUAUGGCCUGCCCACUGACUUUGAAUGUUGAAGGGCCGCGGUAUUUUGACCGUGCAAAGGUAGCAUAGUCAUUAGUUCUUUAAUUGUGAUCUGGUAUGAAUGGCUUGACGAGGCAUGAGCUGUCUUAAUUUUGAAUUGUUUAUUGAAUUUGGUCUUUGAGUUAAAAUUCUUAGAUGUUUUUAUGGGACGAGAAGACCCUAUAGAGUUUAACAUUUAUUACGGUCUUUUUCUGUUUGUGAGGGUUCAUGGGCUGUUUAAUGUGUUUUGUUGGGGUGAUGGGAGGGAUAUUAUUUAACCCCUCCUUUGUGUUGUUAUAUUUAUUUAUGUUUGCUUGAUCCAUUUAUUUUGAUUGUAAGAUUAAAUUACCUUAGGGAUAACAGCGUAA
rnacentral:rRNA from 1 species